UACAGAGGGGGCAAGCGUUGUUCGGAAUUACUGGGCGUAAAGGGCGCGUAGGCGGCCUUCUAAGUCGAACGUGAAAUCCCCGGGCUCAACCCGGGAACUGCGUCCGAGACUGGAAGGCUUGAAUCCGGGAGAGGGAUGUGGAAUUCCAGGUGUAGCGGUGAAAUGCGUAGAUAUCUGGAGGAACAUCGGUGGCGAAGGCGGCAUCCUGGACCGGUAUUGACGCUGAGGCGCGAAAGCCAGGGGGAGCAAACGGG
rnacentral:rRNA from 1 species